UGAGUAACACGUGAGUAACCUGCCCUUGACUCUGGGAUAAGCGUUGGAAACGACGUCUAAUACCGGAUACGAGCUUCCACCGCAUGGUGAGUUGCUGGAAAGAAUUUUGGUCAAGGAUGGACUCGCGGCCUAUCAGCUUGUUGGUGAGGUAACGGCUCACCAAGGCGACGACGGGUAGCCGGCCUGAGAGGGUGACCGGCCACACUGGGACUGAGACACGGCCCAGACUCCUACGGGAGGCAGCAGUGGGGAAUAUUGCACAAUGGGCGAAAGCCUGAUGCAGCAACGCCGCGUGAGGGACGACGGCCUUCGGGUUGUAAACCUCUUUUAGCAGGGAAGAAGCGAAAGUGACGGUACCUGCAGAAAAAGCACCGGCUAACUACGUGCCAGCAGCCGCGGUAAUACGUAGGGUGCAAGCGUUGUCCGGAAUUAUUGGGCGUAAAGAGCUCGUAGGCGGUUUGUCGCGUCUGCUGUGAAAUCCCGAGGCUCAACCUCGGGUCUGCAGUGGGUACGGGCAGACUAGAGUGCGGUAGGGGAGAUUGGAAUUCCUGGUGUAGCGGUGGAAUGCGCAGAUAUCAGGAGGAACACCGAUGGCGAAGGCAGAUCUCUGGGCCGCUACUGACGCUGAGGAGCGAAAGGGUGGGGAGCAAACAGGCUU
rnacentral:rRNA from 1 species